rnacentral:lncRNA from 1 species
AGGCAUGAGCCACUGCGCCCAGCUCAUUGAUAUUUAUUGAAUGCCUCCUAUUUGUCUGGCCCUGGGGAUGGUGGAGCGAAGAAGAAAAACUGAAUCUUGGCUCUCAUGGAGAGGAUGGGGGAGAGCGUUAGCACCAGCAACAGUGACCUCACACAGUGAGGGCACUGGGAAGGAAAUAAAAGAGGCAACACAGAGUGAUAGUGACACAGGAGAGUGGACUGGAAAGGCCGUCCUGAGGAGGAGACAUUUGGCUCAGCCGUGAAUGCAUCUAAAUCAGUAACUCAACCUCUCCUGUGAAUGCGUUUUACGAGGCCAGGAUAUGGUUUGGAGAAAUGCAGAUUCCUGGGCCCAGCAAAUCUGGGGAUGAUGACAAGGCAUCAUCGUGGGACACCAGCUUAGCAAUAGCACCCCCAGAAUAAGACUGCUUCCAGUUCAAUAAACCGCUACAAAGAGUCUAUUAAUGGUGGUAUCCAUCUGGACCUGCGGCCAUAGAGAAGAGACCCAAGCACAGUGGUUAUUAAAAAGCCCAUAUCCUUCAAAAAUUAUGAGUAGAUAUUAUAAAUUCCAAAAUGAUGAAGAGUUCAGGAUGAGAAGAUGGGGACUCACCCAGAACAAAGCAGCACACUGAUUUAUCCUUUGUCUCCUGACAGCAUUCCUUCCCCCGCUGGUCAUCCCGCCCAAUCACACAUGU